UGUGUGUUAGUGGAAGCGUCUGGAAAGGCGUGCGAUACAGGGUGACAGCCCCGUACACAAAAAUGCACAUGCUGUGAGCUCGAUGAGUAGGGCGGGACACGUGGUAUCCUGUCUGAAUAUGGGGGGACCAUCCUCCAAGGCUAAAUACUCCUGACUGACCGAUAGUGAACCAGUACCGUGAGGGAAAGGCGAAAAGAACCCCGGCGAGGGGAGUGAAAAAGAACCUGAAACCGUGUACGUACAAGCAGUGGGAGCCUCUUUAAUGGGGUGACUGCGUACCUUUUGUAUAAUGGGUCAGCGACUUAUAUUCUGUAGCAAGGUUAACCGAAUAGGGGAGCCGAAGGGAAACCGAGUCUUAACUGGGCGUUAAGUUGCAGGGUAUAGACCCGAAACCCGGUGAUCUAGCCAUGGGCAGGUUGAAGGUUGGGUAACACUAACUGGAGGACCGAACCGACUAAUGUUGAAAAAUUAGCGGAUGACUUGUGGCUGGGGGUGAAAGGCCAAUCAAACCGGGAGAUAGCUGGUUCUCCCCGAAAGCUAUUUAGGUAGCGCCUCGUGAAUUCAUCUCCGGGGGUAGAGCACUGUUUCGGCAAGGGGGUCAUCCCGACUUACCAACCCGAUGCAAACUGCGAAUACCGGAGAAUGUUAUCACGGGAGACACACGGCGGGUGCUAACGUCCGUCGUGAAGAGGGAAACAACCCAGACCGCCAGCUAAGGUCCCAAAGUCAUGGUUAAGUGGGAAACGAUGUGGGAAGGCCCAGACAGCCAGGAUGUUGGCUUAGAAGCAGCCAUCAUUUAAAGAAAGCGUAAUAGCUCACUGGUCGAGUCGGCCUGCGCGGAAGAUGUAACGGGGCUAAACCAUGCACCGAAGCUGCGGCAGCGACGCUUAUGCGUUGUUGGGUAGGGGAGCGUUCUGUAAGCCGUUGAAGGUGUGCUGUGAGGCAUGCUGGAGGUAUCAGAAGUGCGAAUGCUGACAUAAGUAACGAUAAAGCGGGUGAAAAGCCCGCUCGCCGGAAGACCAAGGGUUCCUGUCCAACGUUAAUCGGGGCAGGGUGAGUCGACCCCUAAGGCGAGGCCGAAAGGCGUAGUCGAUGGGAAACAGGUUAAUAUUCCUGUACUUGGUGUUACUGCGAAGGGGGGACGGAGAAGGCUAUGUUGGCCGGGCGACGGUUGUCCCGGUUUAAGCGUGUAGGCUGAUUUUCCAGGCAAAUCCGGAGAAUCAAGGCUGAGGCGUGAUGACGAGGCACUACGGUGCUGAAGCAACAAAUGCCCUGCUUCCAGGAAAAGCCUCUAAGCAUCAGGUAACAUCAAAUCGUACCCCAAACCGACACAGGUGGUCAGGUAGAGAAUACCAAGGCGCUUGAGAGAACUCGGGUGAAGGAACUAGGCAAAAUGGUGCCGUAACUUCGGGAGAAGGCACGCUGAUGGUAGGUGAAGCGACUUGCUCGUGGAGCUGAAAUCAGUCGAAGAUACCAGCUGGCUGCAACUGUUUAUUAAAAACACAGCACUGUGCAAACACGAAAGUGGACGUAUACGGUGUGACGCCUGCCCGGUGCCGGAAGGUUAAUUGAUGGGGUCAGCCGCAAGGCGAAGCUCUUGAUCGAAGCCCCGGUAAACGGCGGCCGUAACUAUAACGGUCCUAAGGUAGCGAAAUUCCUUGUCGGGUAAGUUCCGACCUGCACGAAUGGCGUAAUGAUGGCCAGGCUGUCUCCACCCGAGACUCAGUGAAAUUGAACUCGCUGUGAAGAUGCAGUGUACCCGCGGCAAGACGGAAAGACCCCGUGAACCUUUACUAUAGCUUGACACUGAACAUUGAGCCUUGAUGUGUAGGAUAGGUGGGAGGCUUUGAAGUGUGGACGCCAGUCUGCAUGGAGCCGACCUUGAAAUACCACCCUUUAAUGUUUGAUGUUCUAACGUGGACCCGUGAUCCGGGUUGCGGACAGUGUCUGGUGGGUAGUUUGACUGGGGCGGUCUCCUCCUAAAGAGUAACGGAGGAGCACGAAGGUUGGCUAAUCCUGGUCGGACAUCAGGAGGUUAGUGCAAUGGCAUAAGCCAGCUUGACUGCGAGCGUGACGGCGCGAGCAGGUGCGAAAGCAGGUCAUAGUGAUCCGGUGGUUCUGAAUGGAAGGGCCAUCGCUCAACGGAUAAAAGGUACUCCGGGGAUAACAGGCUGAUACCGCCCAAGAGUUCAUAUCGACGGCGGUGUUUGGCACCUCGAUGUCGGCUCAUCACAUCCUGGGGCUGAAGUAGGUCCCAAGGGUAUGGCUGUUCGCCAUUUAAAGUGGUACGCGAGCUGGGUUUAGAACGUCGUGAGACAGUUCGGUCCCUAUCUGCCGUGGGCGCUGGAGAACUGAGGGGGGCUGCUCCUAGUACGAGAGGACCGGAGUGGACGCAUCACUGGUGUUCGGGUUGUCAUGCCAAUGGCACUGCCCGGUAGCUAAAUGCGGAAGAGAUAAGUGCUGAAAGCAUCUAAGCACGAAACUUGCCCCGAGAUGAGUUCUCCCUGAGACUUUAAGUCUCCUGAAGGAACGUUGAAGACGACGACGUUGAUAGGCCGGGUGUGUAAGCGCAGCGAUGCGUUGAGCUAACCGGUACUAAUGAACCGUGAGGCUUAACCUUACAACGCCGAAG
rnacentral:rRNA from 1 species